rnacentral:rRNA from 1 species
ACCCAGACUCCUACGGGAGGCAGCAGUGGGGGAUAUUGCACAAUGGGGGAAACCCUGAUGCAGCGACGCCGCGUGGGCGAAGAAGUAUUUCGGUAUGUAAAGCCCUAUCAGCAGGGAAGAAGAGAUGACGGUACCUGAGUAAGAAGCACCAGCUAACUACGUGCCAGCAGCCGCGGUAAUACGUAGGUGGCAAGCGUUGUCCGGAUUUACUGGGUGUAAAGGGCGUGCAGCCGGAGAGACAAGUCAGAUGUGGAAUCCACGGGCUCAACCCGUGAACUGCAUUUGAAACUGUUUCCCUUGAGUGUCGGAGAGGUCAUCGGAAUUCCUUGUGUAGCAGUG